CGGAAAAAGGCUCAGAAUGAGGCAUCCAACGCUGCUGAAAGAAAUAACAUCGGUUUGUCAGUCUGUUACUCUCGUACUAUUGGGUCUCUGCUGUCCUACAACACAUGGUUUCUUACUGUGCAUGAUAGAAUAGCUCUUAUAUAUCCAAUCUUCCUCUUUUAUCUGGAAUGUUGUUGAACUAUUUUCUUGUUUUUUCACGCAGUUGUGGUUAUUUUUUGUCUUCUCUCUCAGAAACGGAACAACUACAAACACAACAAAGAGAGAACAGAAAACUUCAAAAUACAAAUAACGACUUAAAGCAAGAGGUCCAGGAACUGAAAAUGUGCUGCACUGAUGUCAACACCCAGUGUGACGAUUUACAAAGACAACUAGUACAGAGCCAGCAGUAUGCAGAUCAUCUGAAGCGGCAGCUGUACGAGAAGGAUGACAAACUCAAACAGCUGCAGCAGGACUUAGAAAAACAGAUCGGGGAGAAGAACAAGCUGCAGGACGACUACGACAGCCUGCAAAAUGAGAAGAACAAACUUGAUGUUACUGUACAAGAGCUUCAGGACAUACUGCGUGAUGUGGAAGAUAAAACAAUCACCACCAGUGAGUCACACACAAGAGAAUUUCUUUGAUUGUCAAGUCUGGGAAAAUAAAAGCUUGUAAGACGUUU
rnacentral:lncRNA from 1 species